ACCUCCUGCAAAGGCGUGUUUUUGGUUCCCUGUCCUUGGACACGUAAGAAUCGGAGGCAAAGAAACAACGGAUUUGUAAAGAUCUGGGGCCAGCUUGCUCCCCGCGGGCUCAGGAUCCACCAUCCCACAGAG